rnacentral:rRNA from 1 species
GGAAUUAUUGGGCGUAAAGAGCCUGUAGGCGGCUUGUCGCGUCUGCUGUGAAAACCCGGGGCUUAACCCCGGGCUUGCAGUGGGUACGGGCAGGCUAGAGUGUGGUAGGGGAGACUGGAAUUCCUGGUGUAGCGGUGGAAUGCGCAGAUAUCAGGAGGAACACCGAUGGCGAAGGCAGGUCUCUGGGCCAUUACUGACGCUGAGAAGCGAAAGCGUGGGGAGCGAACAGGAUUAGAUACCCUGGUAGUCCACGCCGUAAACGUUGGGCGCUAGGUGUGGGUCCCAUUCCACGGGGUCCGUGCCGCAGCUAACGCAUUAAGCGCCCCGCCUGGGGAGUACGGCCGCAAGGCUAAAACUCAAAGGAAUUGACGGGGGCCCGCACAAGCGGCGGAGCAUGCGGAUUAAUUCGAUGCAACGCGAAGAACCUUACCAAGGCUUGACAUAUACCGGAAACUCUCAGAGAUGGGGGCCCCGCAAGGUCGGUAUACAGGUGGUGCAUGGUUGUCGUCAGCUCGUGUCGUGAGAUGUUGGGUUAAGUCCCGCAACGAGCGCAACCCUCGUUCUAUGUUGCCAGCACGUGAUGGUGGGGACUCAUAGGAGACUGCCGGGGUCAACUCGGAGGAAGGUGGGGAUGACGUCAAAUCAUCAUGCCCCUUACGUCUUGGGCUUCACGCAUGCUACAAUGGCCGGUACAGAGGGCUGCGAAACCGUGAGGUGGAGCGAAUCCCUUAAAGCUGGUCUCAGUUCGGAUUGGGGUCUGCAACUCGACCCCAUGAAGUCGGAGUCGCUAGUAAUCG